CAGCGACAACGGCGGGGUCCGGCGGCGGCGCUGAGGGCCGUCGGCGGGGCCGGGCGCCGGGGGCAGACGCUUGGCCUGCGGCAGCACCUCGAGCUCGAGCGGGGCGCUGAGCAGCGCCGGGCGGCCGCGGUCCCGCGCGUAGAGACGCAGCGGGAUGGGGGCGCGCAGGUGGAGCAGGGAGCGGACGAGCAGCACGCUCCCGCUACGCGGCACCACGAAGAAGUGCUCGCUGGGCGGGCGGGCGAAGUAGCGCAGCUCGGCGUUGGCGUCCGCGUCCGCGUCCUCGGCGCGCGCCCGCCACACGGCGGAGCCGAGCGGCAGCGUCUCGUCCAGGCGGAGUCGCGCGGGGCGGGCGCCGACGAAGCGCGGGGCGUUGUCGUUGGCGUCCAGCACGCGGACGGUGAGGGCGGCCAGCGGCUCGGCGGGCGCGGCGGAGCGGCGGGUGCAGCGCAAGGCCAGGCGGAGGGAGUAGAGCGGGCGCGCCUCCCGGUCCAGCGGGCGGCGGGUGCGCAGCCAGACGCGGGCGGUGCGGGCGUGCAGCGCCGCCUGGAAGUGCGCGUGGCCUUCGCCCAGGAGCUGCAGGCGCCAGCGGCGGCCCCGCACCUGGGCGCACCACGGCAGGGCGCCCAGGCGCGUCAGGGGGACGCUGAGCCCCUCCACGCGCGUGCCCGCCGGGCGGUUCUCUGCCACGCGCCCGCCGAACGACGGCGUCCUCGGCGGGGUGGCGCGAGCAGAGCCCAGCGGCAGAGCGCAGCACAGCAGCAGCAGGCAGCCGGCUGCGUGCCGGGCCAUGCCGGCGGCCGGAUGGGCACUGAGGCGCUGCGAGGUUGUGCCGGCAGCCGCGCGGGGACUGAGGUAGGAGGGAGGGCGGCCCCGCAUUCGAUCGCCGCGCCCUCGGGGCCGGGCCGGCCGAGGGGCAGCGCCGCGGGACGGGGCUGGGGGUGGGGCCGGCACCGUGCGGCGCCCUCCUGCGGGCACGGCCCCGCGGGGGGUCCGGCAGGGAGCUGCACGCUAGCCACAGCUCCCACGAACCCAGCUUGCCACGCCUGCAUCCUUACUGAAGCGUAUGUGGGCAGCCUGAAUCUGAAUUUAUAUGAAUUUCAUUUAUAUGAAAUCUGA
rnacentral:lncRNA from 1 species